UGUUAAAAAUUUCAUCUAUUUCUACUGUUAAAACUAGUGUGACUAAUGAAAUAACAAAUCAGUUACAUGUGAUGUACCACGUGUACCUCAUGCUGACAUACAGUGAUCAUCUUUUAAUAGUAAAAACGGAUGGAAUUUUUAACA
rfam:Gossypium raimondii Chr04_contig_1411, whole genome shotgun sequence.